rnacentral:rRNA from 1 species
GAUUGAACGCUGGCGGCAUGCUUUACACAUGCAAGUCGAACGGCAGCGGGGAGGAGCUUGCUUCUCUGCCGGCGAGUGGCGAACGGGUGAGUAAUACAUCGGAACGUGUCGAGAAGAGGGGGAUAACCACCCGAAAGGGUGGCUAAUACCGCAUAAAUUCUGAGGAAGAAAGCUGGGGACCUAGGAAUAGGCCUAGCGCUUUUUGAGCGGCCGAUGUCGGAUUAGCUAGUUGGUGAGGUAAAGGCUCACCAAGGCGAAGAUCUGUAGCGGGUCUGAGAGGAUGAUCCGCCACACUGGGACUGAGACACGGCCCAGACUCCUACGGGAGGCAGCAGUGGGGAAUUUUGGACAAUGGGGGCAACCCUGAUCCAGCCAUGCCGCGUGUAUGAAGAAGGCCUUAGGGUUGUAAAGUACUUUUGUUAGGGAAGAAAAGUCAGCUGUGAAUAAUGGCUGAUACUGACGGUACCUAAAGAAUAAGCACCGGCUAACUACGUGCCAGCAGCCGCGGUAAUACGUAGGGUGCGAGCGUUAAUCGGAAUUAUUGGGCGUAAAGCGAGUGUAGACGGUUAUUUAAGCCAGAUGUGAAAUACCCGAGCCUAACUUGGGAGGUGCAUAUGGAACUGGGUAGCUAGAGUGUGUCAGAGGGAGGUAGAACUCCACGUGUAGCAGUGAAAUGCGUAGAGAUGUGGAAGAAUACCGAUGGCGAAGGCAGCCUCCUGGGAUAACACUGACGUUGAGGCUCGAAAGCGUGGGGAGCAAACAGGAUUAGAUACCUG